rnacentral:rRNA from 1 species
GAAUAAGCAUCGGCUAACUCCGUGCCAGCAGCCGCGGUAAUACGGAGGAUGCGAGCGUUAUCCGGAUUUAUUGGGUUUAAAGGGUGCGUAGGCGGAUUAAUAAGUCAGUGGUGAAAUCCUGCAGCUUAACUGUGGAACUGCCAUUGAUACUGUUAGUCUUGAGUAUGGUCAAGGUAGGCGGAAUGUGUAAUGUAGCGGUGAAAUGCUUAGAUAUUACACAGAACACCGAUUGCGAAGGCAGCUUACUGGGCCAUUACUGACGCUGAUGCACGAAAGCGUGGGGAUCGAACAGGAUUAGAUACCCUGGUAGUCCACGCCGUAAACGAUGAUCACUCGCUGUUAGCGAUACACAGUUAGCGGCUAAGCAAAAGCAUUAAGUGAUCCACCUGGGGAGUACGGCCGCAAGGCUGAAACUCAAAGGAAUUGACGGGGGCCCGCACAAGCGGAGGAACAUGUGGUUUAAUUCGAUGAUACGCGAGGAACCUUACCUGGGCUUAAAUGUAGAGUGCAUUUCCGAGAAAUCGGGAUUUCCUUCGGGACUUUCUGCAAGGUGCUGCAUGGUUGUCGUCAGCUCGUGCCGUGAGGUGUCGGGUUAAGUCCCAUAACGAGCGCAACCCUUAUCGUUAGUUGCCAGCGGGUAAUGCCGGGAACUCUAACGAAACUGCCGGUGUAAACCGAGAGGAAGGUGGGGAUGACGUCAAAUCAGCACGGCCCUUAUGUCCAGGGCUACACACGUGUUACAAUGGCCGGUACAGAGGGCAGCUACCUGGAGACAGGAUGCGAAUCUCAAAAGCCGGUCUCAGUUCGGAUCGGAGUCUGCAACUCGACUCCGUGAAGCUGGAUUCGCUAGUAAUCGCGCAUCAGCCAUGGCGCGGUGAAUACGUUCCCGGGCCUUGUACACACCGCCCGU